rnacentral:rRNA from 1 species
AUACGGAGGAUCCGAGCGUUAUCCGGAUUUAUUGGGUUUAAAGGGAGCGUAGGCGGACGCUUAAGUCAGUUGUGAAAGUUUGCGGCUCAACCGUAAAAUUGCAGCCGAUACUGGGUGUCUUGAGUACAGUAGAGGCAGGCGGAAUUUGGGGUGUAGCGGUGAAAUGCUUAGAUAUCACGAAGAACUCCGAUUGCGAAGGCAGCUUGCUGUACUGUAACUGACGCUGAUGCUCGAAAGUGUGGGUAUCAAACAGGAUUAGAUACCCUGGUAGUCCACACAGUAAACGAUGAAUACUCGCUGUUUGCGAUAUACAGUAAGCGGCCAAGCGAAAGCGUUAAGUAUUCCACCUGGGGAGUACGCCGGCAACGGUGAAACUCAAAUGAAUUGACGGGG